UUUUAUGGAGAGUUUGAUCCUGGCUCAGGAUGAACGCUGGCGGCGUGCCUAAUACAUGCAAGUCGAGCGAACGGACGAGAAGCUUGCUUCUCUGAUGUUAGCGGCGGACGGGGGAGGAACACGUGGAUAACCUACCUAUAAGACUGGGAUAACUUCGGGAAACCG
rnacentral:rRNA from 1 species